UUUCAUCACAUGGUAAGAUAUCAAUGCGUAAAAUUACGAUACAAGUUCUUGAUAUCUUAACGCAUGAUGCAAACAUGGCAUAAUGCAAAUUUGGCAAUCAUAGCAUCAAUUCAUAUAAGCAUUGCAAAUAUGGCAAUCAUAUCAAUUCAUAUAUCUCUUGAUGAUGCAAGCAUGGGAUAAUCAUAGCAUAGUGUUUAUAGCAUCAAUUUAUAUAUUUCUCCCCUUUUUUAAGUGUUUCAUCUUAAGUGAUCGAUUUCAUGUUAGCAUGCCUUUUCAUUUAUGUCAAAUGAAAACAUGCAUCAA
rnacentral:lncRNA from 1 species